rnacentral:rRNA from 1 species
UACGGAGGGUGCGAGCGUUGUCCGGAAUCAUUGGGUUUAAAGGGUCCGUAGGCGGUUUGGUAAGUCAGUGGUGAAAGCCCUUCGCUCAACGGAGGAACGGCCAUUGAUACUGCCAGACUUGAAUUACUGGGAAGUAACUAGAAUAUGUAGUGUAGCGGUGAAAUGCUUAGAUAUUACAUGGAAUACCAAUUGCGAAGGCAGGUUACUACCGGUGGAUUGACGCUGAUGGACGAAAGCGUGGGGAGCGAACAGG